UACAGAGGUCCCAAGCGUUGUUCGGAUUCACUGGGCGUAAAGGGUGCGUAGGUGGUGAGGUAAGUCGGAUGUGAAAGCUCGGAGCUCAACUCCGAAAUGGCAUUGGAAACUACCUUGCUCGAGGGUUGGAGGGGGGACUGGAAUGCUUGGUGUAGCAGUGAAAUGCGCAGAUAUCAGGAGGAACACCGGUGGCGAAGGCGGGUCUCUGGGCCGAUACUGACGCUGAGGAGCGAAAGCGUGGGGAGCGAACAGG
rnacentral:rRNA from 1 species